rnacentral:rRNA from 1 species
GACGAACGCUGGCGGCGUGCUUAACACAUGCAAGUCGAACGAGGUACGAGGAGCUUGCUCCUCGUAACCGAGUGGCGAACGGGUGAGUAACACGUGACCAACCUAUCCCAGGGUGGGGGA